GGAGAGGUGGCCGAGUUGGCUGAAGGCAACCGCCUGCUAAGCGGUUGUAGGGGCUUAAACCUCUACCCAGGGUUCGAAUCCCUGCCUCUCCG
rnacentral:tRNA from 1 species